GCCCUCCGCCCCGAAAUCGGCCAGUGAAGUGCGCCCGUGGGUGCCCCCUUCCUCGCCUCCCCGUCACGUGUGCGCUCGGUGGUCGCGAGAGCUCUGUCUGUGUGCUGAUUGACGCCUGACUGUGAGUGAGGGUGGGGGCCAAGGUGUGUCCGGGUUCCCACCUGUCACGCCGGAGACGGCCCGUGGAUGCUCGUGGAAUGAAUGAAGAACACGCGUGGAGCUGCUCUGUGCGGUGCGGCGGUCGUGGGCCGCCCUCCGAGCGUGCCUCCACGGGAGGACGCGGCCGCGCACUGAAGCCCCGUGCCGCGCUGUCCCCGCGGGCUGCCCGGUCCACGGUCCCGGGUGGUGGGAUCCCGCUGGCUUCCCGGCCCCGGCCCCGGCUUGUGCCAUCCCGCGGGCUUCCCGGCCCACAGCCCCGGGUCGUGCGAUGCCGCGGGCUUCCCAGUCCACGGUCCCCAGUUGUGCCAUCCCGCGGGCUUCCUGGCCCACGACCCCGGCUUGUGCCAUCCCGCAGGCUUCCCAGUCCAUUGUCCCCAGUUGUGCCAUUCCGCGGGCUUCCCGGUGCACGGACCCUGGUUGUGCCAUCCCACGGGCUUCCCGGCGCACAGCCCCGGGUUGUGCCAUCCCAUGGGCUUCCCGGCCCACAGCCCCGGGUCGUGCGAUCCCGCUGGCUUCCCGGUCCGCGGUCCCCGGUCCCCGGUUGUGCCAUCCCGCGGGCUUCCUGGUCCACAGCCCCGGCUUGUGCCAUCCCACGGGCUUCCCGGUCCACGGUCCCGGGUUGUGCCAUCCGGCGGGCUUCCUGGUCCACGGUCCCGGGUUGUGCCAUCCCGUGGGCUUCCCGGUCCACGGCCCCGGGUCGUGCGAUCCCGCAGGCUUCCUGGCCCACGGCCCCGGGUUGUGCGAUCCCCAGGCUUCCUGGGCCAUGGUCCGGGGUUGCGCAGCCACAGGGACGCGCGGCGGGCACCGCGACCUCGGGCGAUUUCUGGGCGGACAUCUAGAGGGUGCUGACCCAGCGGUUCAGGCUGCUGCUACCUGAGGUGCACCCUCUGCGAGGUGGACACAUUGGCCACCGGCAGCCGAAGGGGAACAUGUUUGGGCUUACAAAAAAGACAGCCAGCCAAGGGCACAGCCCAGACAGCAGACAAGGGAGGAGUCGGGGUGACGCGUGACGCCUCUCACUGGGUCUUGGCGCGUCAGCAUCUGAGGAGAGUGGGGAGGUUCUCGGGUUCUGACGAGGGGGCCAGCGUGCGCUCGAACCUGGGCUGGGCACAGGGACGCUUUCAUCCGCGCAGUGCUCGGUGGGGUCCGCCGCCACACUGUGUGCCCUUGGGCCGUGACUUCCCCUCUCUGGCCUCAGUGCCCUCACCUGUACACACACGGAGGCUAAAGUCAGUUCCUGGGGCAGGCGUGCAGCACGCCACAUCCCAUCUGAGUGCUGAAGCCAGCAUUGCCAAGGCACGCGCUGCAGGACAGCCGAUGGUAGCUCACGCGCUGCCUUCCCUGUCACCCACGCGGGAGGAAGACCAGAACUGAGGCCCAGGUGCCCGGUUUCAGCUUGACUCUGGCUGUCGGAGGCAUUUGGGAAGUGAACCAGUGGAUGCAGAAGUCUGUCUCUGUGUCUCUGCCUUUCAAAUAAAUAACAGAUCAGUUAAAAUUAAAAAAAAAUC
ensembl:lncRNA